CGGGGGGGGCAAGCGUUGUUCGGAAUUACUGGGCGUAAAGGGCUCGUAGGCGGCCAACUAAGUCCGACGUGAAAUCCCCAGGCUUAACCUGGGAACUGCGUCGGAUACUGGAUGGCUUGAAUUCGGGAGAGGGAUGCAGAAUUCCAGGUGUAGCGGUGAAAUACGUAGAUAUCUGGAGGAAUACCGGUGGCGAAGGCGGCAUCCUGGACCGACAUUGACGCUGAGUGAGCGAAAGCUAGGGGGAGCAAACGGGAUUAGAUACCCCGGUAGUCCUAGCCCUAAACGAUGAAUGCUUGGUGUGGCGGGUAUCGAUCCCUGCCGUGCCGAAGCUAACGCAUUAAGCAUUCCGCCUGGGGAGUACGGUCGCAAGGCUG
rnacentral:rRNA from 1 species